CACUUCAGAGCAGGCGAACUUUGAAGGUGUCUUCAUUGAAAAAGAUGAGGAAGUUGCUGAGUUUAUGAAAUACAUCCAGAGACACACAAAUGAUGUAAGAGACUCAUAUAUAUAUAUAUAUUAGUGCUGUCAGCGUUAAUCUUGUUAAAAUGACGUUAACGCCAUAAACAUAUACACGUGUGUGUGUGUGUGUGUGUGUGUGUAUAAAUGCAUAUGGAUGGGUGUAUAUUCAUUUUAUUUUUCUCUUGGUGUUGUUAUAAUACUAUUUACUUUACUUUUUCUUAAUGUAUACUUAAUUUUAGCGUCCCAGGACAUAUUACUUUCCUUUGCUCCGAUGUGUCCUGUAAAUAUUUCCCAUAUUUAAUCAAGGUGGCUCAGCUGAGGAACCUCUUGUCAAUGCGUCCAUUUCUCUCCGUCAUGCAUGCAAAGGCUCUCAUUUGGAAAUGCGAGGUAUACUGCAGCUUGUAGUUUUGGAUUAGUUUGAGACAUUUUGUUAUAAGGUUGAAUGAAUUCAGCAGUCAUGUAUUGUGACCUCCUUUCUAUAGAUCAAAUGGGGAGGUGCGUUUCAGGAUGGGGCCGGUUCUACAGUUGGAAAAGAGGUGGGACAAGUAAACAGUUUCCUGUCUAGGGCGGCCAUUGAAGUACAAAAACAGGUAUGUGUCUGUGUGUGAGAUUCCACUCACUCAUUAAUUCUUAUUUUUAUACGAACUGAAAUGCAGGGCGAACAGACAUGCUGACCCUCCUGGCUUUGGGGUGGACCAAAAGGAAAGUGGAACAACUGGUUUGAGCCAGAGAUAUCUAAAGGUGAUUUUUUUUUUUCAACACCCAUUUAAAUGUGUGUGGUAAUGGGGGAAAAACACCUGUACUGUAAAAACAUCAAUGCGAAUGACAUUUAUUAAUGUAUUCUUAGAUCAUAAGGAUCCUUAGAGAACAAAUGGAGAGCCUGAAUAUGACCAGAAAUGAGCUGGGUGUGGAUGACGACACACUGCAGCAAUGGGUGGCCGAUGUGCAGAAAUGGGCUGAAGAAACUGAUCAAACUGAUGGCAGCCUUGGAGCGUUGCAGGCACGACUAGAGGAGCUUGUCGUCAUCAUCAGAGUGCGAACACAAAGUCUUUACAGACAAAAUGAUAGCAACAAGAGGCGACACAGAAUUCGCAAGGUCAUCUUAGAUGAGAAGAAACGCUUGGCGGCUGCUGUUGACGACUACAACAAGCUUGCUGAACCAACAAAGCAAAUCGUAUCCAGUGAUGCCCUCAUCCAGACCGACAUUUGGCUCUGGCAGAGCACAAGUGAACCUGCUGCUGAACUCCAGACAAAGAGAGAGGUCUUUGAGAAGGUGAUGGCUGUGAGGCGCCUGAGAGAGGACGAGAUGAUCCUUUGCAGGGAGAUGCGGCAUCACUGGACAGUGUUGCAAAUGCGAUCUGUGGUGUUGGGGACAAUCUCCUCAGACUCCUCCUUUGUUGGCAUGUCGGAGGAUGCACAGAAGGGACUCCGUAGCCUGGUUUAAAAAAACAAAGUGAACUGAAAGCUGAAAUGCUCAAAAUAAAGGACACGUACAAGAGAAUCCUCAGCCACCAACCACUCCUGGAAAUGGACUCGGAGGAGGAGGAGGACAUUCCAGACGAUGCCACUGAGAGUGAUUUGAGCACUUCUGAUGAAGACUGAUUGUGUCAUCAUUGAUGUUAUUUUUGGUAAAAUAAAAAGUUAAUCACAUCUCUGUUUAAUGUGAUUUUUCAACAGACAUUUUACAUUUUGAGAAGAAAAAUGGAAUUUCCUUGGUGCAGUUGUUUACCCAUAAUCAUGCUUUCCCAUGUAAUUUAAUGACUAGUGUAAAUGUUCAGAUAGACUAACAUAAUUUAAUUCAUGGAAUGUUUUCUGUGCUGCUCAAAUUACCACAGAAUUUAAAAGCACCAGGCAGCAAACUCACAAGGAAAUUUUUGUUCAGUGUUUUGUCGAAGAAAUCAACAAGUACAAUUGAGAUGUUUGCUGUAGUGGUGUGUUUGUUAAGAAGCAUGCCAGCACACUGGUGAACUGACAGUCCCAGAAUGCACCCGAGCCACUGACUCGCACAAGAGCAAAUGAAACUGCUUAUCUAGGAAGACAACCGUCAUCAAAGAAUAAGUAAAAGAAUAGGAAACUAACGGUAAGGGAAGGUACUGUGCAGUAGGAAAGAAAGGCCAGAGCCGUGCAAAAUGACCUCCAGCAGGCCACAAAUGUGCUCGUCUGCUCAAACGGUCAGGAACGGACUCCAUGAGAGCCCGACAUCCACAGGUGAGGGUUUUGCUUGCAGCCCAACACCGUGCAGGAUGUUUGGCAUUUGCCAGAGAACACAAA
rnacentral:lncRNA from 1 species